rnacentral:lncRNA from 1 species
GAUAUGAUACUCAAUACUGGAAUCGUGCUUACAUCUCGGCAAUCAGUAUCGAAACUUUAAUGGUCGGCAAGUCCUUCACUAUUGGCAUGAUACACGUACAGAUAGUUUUUGAAUCAAGUUUUCCAUUAUCUUUUGUCAUACGUGUUGAUGUGCAUGUAUGAGGACCAAUAAAUUUUCGUAUUUCCCACAUCUGAGAACUUUUAAUUAAUGCAGCUCGUAUCCGCCAUUUGCAGCCUUCUACUGCCUUCCAACACUCCCAAAUAUAUAUUGUCGG